AGCUCGCGGUCUUUUUGUUCCUGAAGUGCGGAGGGGUGGGAGUGUCUCGUGCGGCCCCCGCGAUGCAUCAGCUAUACUGUUCCUUCUUGUGGCUUCAAAACAGAUCUGCCACCAAAUGCACAGCCUUGAUGCCACUUCACAAGGAUUUGACUCCUGCACUCAGCAGACAUGCAGAAGGAACAUCACCUGGCACUGGGAGAUGAAGCUCUAACCUCUGCACGAUUGCCCUGGGCACAGGAGACCUGUGCCUCUUGUGUGGGAAGCUAUUUCAUCUGUUACUGGUGUUGGUGAAGCCAAGGCCUUCCUAAUUGCAGGCUUCCAAAAUGUUUCUCCUUGCAAGGUGCAGUGGAGCCGGGAAGUGGGGCAGUUGGGAGUACUGCCAGCAAAAGGGUGAAUCUCGUGGGGAGUUCCUGUGAGAAACAAGGUGGAUGUGCCUGAGUUAGGAUUUGUAAGCUUUGUGUCUCCUAUAUUUGGGUGUUGCAAGUUGAACUUGUGAGUUGCCAGCUGAAAGGCAGCCUUCCCCCAGGAAAGGACUGUGCUGUUUGCAGCCUCACUGGGUGAGGAAGCAACUCUGCAAUUACUGUAUGAAGAACUGAGAAGGUGGAGGAUUGCAGUAUAAUGGGCUACACUUGCAUGAAGAGCAUUAAAAAGCCCAAGUGUUUUUUUACCCCACUGGUAAUGUUUGCCUGAUGCUGGUUGGAGCCAAUAAAAAUCUUCAAACUCUG